AUUGAACGCUGGCGGCAUGCUUUACACAUGCAAGUCGAACGGCAGCGGGGGCUUCGGCCUGCCGGCGAGUGGCGAACGGGUGAGUAAUACAUCGGAACGUAUCCUUGAGUGGGGAAUAACGCAUCGAAAGAUGUGCUAAUACCGCAUACCUCUAAGGAGAAAAGCAGGGGACAGAAAUGCCUUGCGCUGAAGGAGCGGCCGAUGUCUGAUUAGCUAGUUGGUGGGGUAAAAGCCUACCAAGGCGACGAUCAGUAGUUGGUCUGAGAGGACGACCAGCCACACUGGGACUGAGACACGGCCCAGACUCCUACGGGAGGCAGCAGUGGGGAAUUUUGGACAAUGGGCGAAAGCCUGAUCCAGCCAUGCCGCGUGAGUGAAGAAGGCCUCGGUUGGUAAGUACGUCUUUAGUUCGGUAAGAAAAGAAGUACGUAAAUAAAUAACUUAGUCG
rnacentral:rRNA from 1 species